rnacentral:rRNA from 1 species
UACGUAGGGGGCAAGCGUUAUCCGGAUUUACUGGGUGUAAAGGGAGCGCAGACGGCAGUGCAAGUCUGGAGUGAAAGCCCGGGGCCCAACCCCGGGACUGCUCUGGAAACUAUGUUACUAGAGUGCAGGAGAGGUAAGCGGAAUUCCUAGUGUAGCGGUGAAAUGCGUAGAUAUUAGGAGGAACACCAGUGGCGAAGGCGGCUUACUGGACUGUAACUGACGUUGAGGCUCGAAAGCGUGGGGAGCAAACAGG